CAGCAGUAGGGAAUAUUGGGCAAUGGCGGCAACGCUGACCCAGCCAUGCCGCGUGCAGGAAGAAGGCGCUACGCGUCGUAAACUGCUUUUUUUCGGGAAGAAUGCCCUCCUGCGGGAGGAAUUGACGGUACCGAAGGAAUCAGCACCGGCUAACUCCGUGCCAGCAGCCGCGGUAAUACGGAGGGUGCGAGCGUUGUCCGGAUUCAUUGGGUUUAAAGGGUGCGUAGGCGGGAGAUUAAGUCCGGGGUGAAAGACGGUUGCUCAACAAUCGCAGUGCCUUGGAUACUGGUCUUCUUGGGUAGAGUCGAGGCGGGCGGAAUGGCCGGUGUAGCGGUGAAAUGCAUAGAUACCGGCCAGAACCCCGAUUGCGAAGGCAGCCCGCUGGGCUUCAACCGACGCUGAGGCACGAAAGCGUGGGGAUCAAACAGGAUUAGA
rnacentral:rRNA from 1 species